rnacentral:lncRNA from 1 species
AUGAGGACAGCAGGCAAUCAGUCAGGUGGUAAACAAGAAUUUAAAUGCUUACUAUGUGCUAGGCUAGCACAGCACGAGGCAUUCCCAGGCCAGUCUCAAGAGACUAGGAAGCUUCAGUCCCAGCUCCACCACUGGCAUAUCAGUGUUUUGAUUUCCCCGUCCAUGAAAUGGGUCAAUUCAGCUGCCCCUCACAGUCUUUUGGAAAGAGAAGAAAAGUCUUGUAGGAUGGAGUGGCUACUUCUACUAAAGAACUGCAGGAAGAGCAUCGGACGCAGGCCCUGUCGCUCACUAGCUGCGUGACUUUGGGCAAGCUUCCAUCCUCAGUGGGGGCGUCCCAGCUCAUCAAAAUUCGGUGGGUUUUUCUGUCUGCUCUUUUCAGUCACAAUCUUCUCCCCACUCCCUACCAGCUCACUGCUUCCGUUGCCCUCCCCCCCCCCCUCCCCCCCGCCGGCCCCCAUGCCCGUACGUUCUCUCCUCCCCCCCUUCGGCUUUUUGUGUGCUGUAUUCCCCCGUUAGACUGUAAGCUCCUUGAGGGUGCUCCGGUCUGUCCAUGUCCCUUCUAGAAUGUAGUGUGCAGAACAGAACCUCAUACUCUGAAGGGGGUGUACCCAGCACACACUGCACCUCCUCCAGGAAGCCCUCCCAACCACUCUGGCCAAAGAGGCUCUCCCCUUCCUCCGAAGCCCUAAUGCACUGAGAGUGGUUAUGCACUAAAAAGAGGUGAAUUCCCACUCUGAGGAAGGACCUUUAAAUCCUGCCUCAUUUACUGACCUGUGUGACCUCAAGCAACUUACUUAAAGGUCCCUUCCAGCUCUAAAAUUAUGAACUUUCACAUUCAUGGCAUGAAAUUAAUAUAGUUUUAACUUGGUAGUUGCCUGAGAAGAGCCUGGAAGUAGAUGUAUAAAAUAACAACUCAUGUUUAUCUAGAACCUUAAGAUGUGCAAAGCCCUGUGACAUUAGGAGAGUUUAAGUACUGUCUCCAUUUUAUAGCUGAGGUCAAGUUACUUGCCUUUGGCCAACGACUAGCUUUGAACACACCCUGAGGGAGGGAAGGGGGUGUCAAUUAUUUUAUCCACCUGCAUCAGUUUCUCAAGAUAAACCCAAAGAACCAGUAGCCCAAGUCUGUCUUGCUUGGAGGGAAGGGGCCAAAUAAAUUGUGUUUUGAAGAGAUCUCCA